rnacentral:sRNA from 1 species
GCUGACUAGCUUUAUUAAAUAAUGACAUUAAUCAACGCUAAAACAUCAUUAUGGAAUAAAGCUCAGUCAGCUUAUUUUGGGAGGUCCAGGUUCAAAUCUCAGUCGCGGCAGGUCAUACCCUUCCAUGAAAAUUCGAUAAAAUAUCGAUUUUCCUCCACAUGUGGUGAAGUUGUCGGCCUUGUGGAAGGGUAGUUAGUACUGGUGAUGGUAGGUCCAGGAAAACAUGGUUAGGAAAACCGUCCGCCAUAUAUAACUGAAAUACUGUUGAGAAACGGCGUAAAACCCAAUGAAACAAACAAACAAACAGCUUAUUUUCACAUUCUGUUGUAAGCCUCAUUAUUGACAUUUAAAAAUGCCUUA